GACGAACGCUGGCGGCGUGCCUAAUACAUGCAAGUAGAACGCUGAAGGGAGGAGCUUGCUCUUCUUGGAUGAGUCGCGAACGGGUGAGUAACGCGUAGGUAACCAGCCUUGUAGCGGGGGAUAACUAUUGGAAACGAUAGCUAAUACCGCAUAACAAUGGAUGACCCAUGUCAUUUAUUUGAAAGGGGCAAAUGCUCCACUACAAGAUGGACCUGCGUUGUAUUAGCUAGUAGGUGAGGUAACGGCUCACCUAGGCGACGAUACAUAGCCGACCUGAGAGGGUGAUCGGCACACUGGGACUGAGACACGGCCCAGACUCCUACGGGAGGCAGCAGUAGGGAAUCUUCGGCAAUGGGGGCAACCCUGACCGAGCAACGCCGCGUGAGUGAAGAAGGUUUUCGGAUCGUAAAGCUCUGUUGUAAGUCAAGAACGAGUGUGAGAGUGGAAAGUUCACACUGUGACG
rnacentral:rRNA from 1 species